UACGUAGGGUGCGAGCGUUAAUCGGAAUUACUGGGCGUAAAGCGUGCGCAGGCGGUUUUGUAAGUCAGAUGUGAAAUCCCCGGGCUCAACCUGGGAACUGCAUUUGAGACUGCAAGGCUAGAGUGUGGCAGAGGGGGGUAGAAUUCCACGUGUAGCAGUGAAAUGCGUAGAGAUGUGGAGGAAUACCGAUGGCGAAGGCAGCCCCCUGGGUCACUACUGACGCUCAUGCACGAAAGCGUGGGGAGCAAACAGG
rnacentral:rRNA from 1 species